rnacentral:rRNA from 1 species
AGAGUUUGAUCCUGGCUCAGGAUGAACGCUGGCGGCGUGCUUAACACAUGCAAGUCGAACGAAGCACGGGGACGGAAGCCCUCCGGGGUGGAAGGCCGCGUGACUGAGUGGCGGACGGGUGAGUAACGCGUGGGUAACCUGCCCCAUACAGGGGGAUAACAGCCGGAAACGGCUGCUAAUACCGCAUGCACAUGCGGGGGCGCAUGCCCCUGGAUGGAAAGCUUUCGCGGUAUGGGAUGGGCCCGCGUCUGAUUAGGCAGUUGGCGGGGUAACGGCCCACCAAACCGACGAUCAGUAGCCGGCCUGAGAGGGCAACCGGCCACAUUGGGACUGAGACACGGCCCAAACUCCUACGGGAGGCAGCAGUGGGGAAUAUUGCACAAUGGGGGGACCCUGAUGCAGCGACGCCGCGUGGGUGAAGGAGUAUUUCGGUAUGUAAAGCCCUAUCAGCAGGGAAGAACAAUGACGGUACCUGACUAAGAAGCACCGGCUAAAUACGUG